rnacentral:misc_RNA from 1 species
GAUGAAGAACGUAGCGAAAUGCGAAAAGUAGUGUGAAUUGCAGAAUUCAGUGAAUCAUCGAAUCUUUGAACGCACAUUGCGCCCCUUGGUAUUCCGAGGGGCAUGCCUGUUCGAGCGUCAUUACACCACUCAAGCUAUGCUUGGUAUUGGGCGUCGUCCUUAGUUGGGCGCGCCUUAAAGACCUCGGCGAGGCCACUCCGGCUUUAGGCGUAGUAGAAUUUAUUCGAACGUCUGUCAAAGGAGAGGAACUCUGCCGACUGAAACCUUUAUUUUUCUAGGUUGACCUCGGAUCAGGUAGGGAUACCCGCUGAACUUAAGCAUAUCAAUAAGCGGAGGA